rnacentral:tRNA from 1 species
GCGCCCAUAGCUCAGAUGGAUAGAGCAUCCGCCUUCUAAGCGGACGGUCGGGGGUUCGAAUCCCUCUGGGCGCGCCA